rnacentral:rRNA from 1 species
CCUACGGGUGGCUGCAGUGGGGAAUAUUGGACAAUGGGCGAAAGCCUGAUCCAGCCAUGCCGCGUGUGUGAAGAAGGCCUUCGGGUUGUAAAGCACUUUCAGUGGGGAAGAAAGCCUUGGGGCUAAUACCCUCGAGGAAGGACAUCACCCACAGAAGAAGCACCGGCUAACUCCGUGCCAGCAGCCGCGGUAAUACGGAGGGUGCGAGCGUUAAUCGGAAUUACUGGGCGUAAAGCGCGCGUAGGCGGUCUGAUAAGCCGGUUGUGAAAGCCCCGGGCUCAACCUGGGAACGGCAUCCGGAACUGUCAGGCUAGAGUGCAGGAGAGGAAGGUAGAAUUCCCGGGGGAGCGGUGAAAUGCGUAGGGAUCGGGAGGAAUACCAGUGGCGAAGGCGGCCUUCUGGACUGACACUGACGCUGAGGUGCGAAAGCGUGGGUAGCAAACAGGAUUAGAUACCCCAGUAGUC